CUUAGGAUUUUUUCUAAUCCAAUGCAUUUCGAGAUUCCCUCAUACUGGUUACCUGUAACUUCAAUAAUAGAAGUAGAAUGUGAUGGAACGCCACUAAAAUCGGCGUUCGUUUCCAUGCCGUCAUGGUUUAUUCCCGUUAGCGAUCAGGUGGAAGUAUAUAUUUUGAAAGGUGAACGGACACAGACUCGAAAAUUUAAUUGGAGUAAAAUGAAAAAUGCCCAAAUAACCCGUGAAGGUGUCCAAGUACAAUUGGAUCAUUUUUGUUAUAUAACUUUUGCCAUCCCUGUUGACAAAUCUCAUUUAGGCGCUAUAAAGGUAAAUCACGCCUUGAUACAAAAAGAAAGAAUUUUAAAGACAAUAUUUAGUAGGCCUGUUGAUUCAGAAUUUUUUAAUCUUCGCCUGGAGUUGUGGGGUAGUUCUGACUACAAAAUUCACAUUAUAGGUUCAUUUGAAAUGAAACCGAGUGCUGAGUCUGUUUUUGUGAAACUACAAAUCGAGGAUGAUGCCGUUGGCAUCGAACCGCAGGAGAAUACGUUGUUUUGAGAAAAAAUACAGAAUCUGCAGAAUGAGACCGAGGUAUUGAGUUUUCGAACAAAGGUGCAGAUGGAGAAUGACGGAAUGAGUGUGGAUGCGACUUACUUUAUUGGCGAAGAGAUUUCGGAACUCAUUGAAAUUAAAUUGCCAGGAAGGCUAUAUACCAACAAGGACAUGUAGGACUUCCUGAAUAAAUUAUCUUUCCGGUUUGAUAAACAAAAUCUAUAACACACAGGCUAAAAGUGGACUUCAAGCUAUUCUUGAAAAUUGAUUGAUUUUUGUGGAUUGUAUUUAGUCUGCUCAAGGUUUUUGCCCAACAGAGUAAUUUAAUUUAGAAUAACAAUUUAGCUUUGCUAAGUUCAUCUGCUUUUCUUUUCUAAGUGUUUUUUGUUUAAAAAGCAUUCAAUGUGCAAUUGGCGUAAAAGUCCAAUCUUCAAGCCUGUCUUAAUGGGUUACUCACUACGUUAUAGACACACUUUUGAACUUUUUCAAUCACUUUUCAGAAAAUAAGCGUUCAAGAAAGCGAAAACGAUCACGCGAGAUGCCAAAUAGCAUUUUAAAGCGGCCCAAACUAUCAGUUCAUCUCCACGACACAAAGAUAUGUGCCGAGAAUAAUAUCCAAGACAGAGCCAGGGUGCGAAUUAGAAAAAAACACUGCUCUGUCAUUGUUCAACAAAAGCUGUCCAGACCACAAGAUAAAUCUAAAUCGGAAACAUCGUGCGAAGAAAUGGAAAACGAUUGAAGGAAAAUAUCAAACUGCAUGCAUGUCAUUUUUAAUGAUAGUACAUAUUUGUGCCUGUAAUAAAUAUUUUUAGCUUCCAAAGCAUACUUUUUGUAGUGAUACUUUCAGUUUACCAAUACACACAGUGCGUUCAUAUUUAUCCGUUUGGGUUUUAACAUAAAAUACCAUACUAUUUCGAUUAUCGAUCAUUGCUUAAACUUAUUUUGCUUUGCUCAAGUGUGUAUAUCAAAUAAAGUUCAAAUUCACAUACUUCCUUAUAUAUUCAUAGUCUUAGCCAAAAGUAUUUUUUCGAAAAAGGAUUAAAUUCAUACAAAAUAUGAAAAAAUUAUUGCAGAAAUACUGAAAACAAGAAGUGUUUGGUGGCAAUCUGCUCAUUAGGCGUGAAUCAUCCAGGCUCAAAUAUGUAAUUUAGGUAUAAUAAUUAUUAUCAGUUUCUAGAAUGUAUCGAACGGAAAACUUUAGAAUAUUAAACUUUUUUUAUAAUAUAUUCAUGUUUGUUAGUCAUGAGAAAUUAUUUCAGAAAUAGCUAAAAUGACCAAAUUCAAGGUCAUUUAAUUGAGGAAAAUCAUAUUUACUAGGAUAUAUUCUUUAAUAAAAUACAGUAGCCUAAAUAACCGAUAAUAUAGUGUAUUGUACCCAUAUAUAUUGGUAGAACUAUCAUCUUUCGGUCAAUUCAAAAUAUAUCAUCGGUAAAUGAAUCAUCGACAUGUAUUAUAAUACAUCGUUAAAUGAAAGUUCAAUAAUAUCACAACUAAUUUGGAGUAUAUAUCUUAGAAUGAAAUAUGGUUUGAUGAACAUUUAAGAAUAACUUAUUGGGUAUUUGUAGGAAAAUCAAACUUCACAAAAUAAUGUCGUUAAUUCUACCAGGUUUCCUCAUACCUUGGACUCUAUAAAUAGGAAGCAUGUCGAACGCUCCAUUUAGUCCCAACCGUCAACUAGGCUACAUUUACAAACAAUACACUGUAUUAAAAUUAACUUCUCAUUGUUCAAUGUCACGCAUGUGAGAGUGACAAUAGGGAACAACAAUCAGUAGCAGCCGGCCACUUCAUACAGUUGAAACAGUGGCAAAGGCGACAAAAACAGUUUUUUUUAAAAGCAAAUGAAGCACACUUAAUUAGUUAAAAGUCACAAUACACAAGACACAAACCGAUGAAUAAGUCAUCAACGCCAAAGCAGCAAGUGCUACAGAUUCAGCAAACCAAGGUUGUCGGUGACCCAUGCUCUGAAAUGGUCAGUUUAAUCACCAAUUGCUACAAAAUCAACAGAGGCAAAAACUUGUUUACCAGUCCGGGUGAAGCAAAUACAUUUAGAAUACAACAUAAUACCAUGUACGAACAUUCCACGAUAACGACAAAUGUCGACACCCUUG